rnacentral:rRNA from 1 species
UAAUACCUGCAGCCCGAGUGGUGGUCGAUAUUAUUGAGCCUAAAGCGUCCGUAGCCGGACCAGUAAAUUCUUGGGUAAAUCGGGCAGCUUAACUGUCCGACUUCCGAGGAGACUGCUGGUCUUGGGACUGGGAGAGGUCAGAGGUACUCCAGGGGUAGGGGCUAAAUCCUGUAAUCCUUGGGGGACCACCAGUGGCGAAGGCGUCUGACUAGAACGGAUCCGACGGUAAGGGACGAAACCCUGGGGCGCAAACCGGAUUAGAUACCCGGGUAGUCCAGGGCGUAAACGCUGCAGGCUUGGUGUUGGGGAUCCUACGAGGAUGUCCAGUGCCGGAGAGAAGUUGUUAAGCCUGCCGCUUGGGGAGUACGUCCGCAAGGAUG